UGACACAGGUGGAUGAGGAGAGAAUCCUAAGGCCGACGGGAGAAGCAUUGUUAAGGAACUCGGCAAAAUGACUCCGUAACUUCGGGAGAAGGAGUGCCAGUAAGAUGGCCGCAGAGAAUUGGCCCAAGCAACUGUUUAGCAAAAACACAGGUCUAUGCAAAACCGAAAGGUGAGGUAUAUGGGCUGACGCCUGCCCGGUGCUGGAAGGUUAAGGGGAGAGGUUAGCGCAAGCGAAGCUUUGAACUUAAGCCCCAGUAAACGGCGGCCGUAACUAUAACGGUCCUAAGGUAGCGAAAUUCCUUGUCGGGUAAGUUCCGACCCGCACGAAAGGCGUAAUGAUUUGGGCACUGUCUCAACAAUGCACCCGGUGAAAUUGAAAUACCAGUGAAGAUGCUGGUUACCUGCGCCAGGACGGAAAGACCCCAUGGAGCUUUACUCCAGCUUGAUACUGGGAUUCGGUAUUGCAUGUACAGGAUAGGUGGGAGGCUAGGAAAUGGUAACGCCAGUUGCCAUGGAGCCAAUGUUGGGAUACCACCCUUGCAGUACUGGGUUUCUAACCAGCAGCCGUGAUCCGGCUGGGGGACAAUGUCAGGUGGGGAGUUUGACUGGGGCGGUCGCCUCCGAAAGGGUAUCGGAGGCGCUCAAAGGUUCCCUCAGAAUGGUUGGAAACCAUUCGAAGAGUGCAAAGGCAGAAGGGAGCUUGACUGCGACACCGACGGGUGGAGCAGGUACGAAAGUAGGACUUAGUGAUCCGGUGGUAUAAAGUGGGAUUGCCAUCGCUCAACGGAUAAAAGCUACCCUGGGAUAACAGGCUUAUCACUCCCAAGAGUUCACAUCGACGGAGUGGUUUGGCACCUCGAUGUCGGCUCAUCGCAUCCUGGGGCUGAAGUAGGUCCCAAGGGUUGGGCUGUUCGCCCAUUAAAGCGGUACGCGAGCUGGGUUCAGAACGUCGUGAGACAGUUCGGUCCCUAUCCGGCGUGGGCGUAAGAUAUUUGAGAGGAGCUGUCCUUAGUACGAGAGGACCGGGAUGGACUGGCCGCUGGUGUAUCUGUUGUCUUACCAAAGGCAUAGCAGAGUAGCCAAGCCGGGAAGGGAUAAACGCUGAAGGCAUCUAAGCGUGAAGCCCCCCUCAAGAUGAGAUAUCUCAUAACGUCAAGUUAGUAAGACCCCUUGAAGACGACGAGGUAGAUAGGGCAGAGGUGGAAGUGUGGUAACACAUGGAGCUGACUGUUACUAAUAGGUCGAGGGCAUAACC
rnacentral:rRNA from 1 species